UACGGGGGGGGCAAGCGUUGUUCGGAAUUACUGGGCGUAAAGCGCACGUAGGCGGCUUUCUAAGUCAGGGGUGAAAUCCUGGAGCUCAACUCCAGAACUGCCUUUGAUACUGGAGAGCUUGAGUCCGGAAGAGGUGAGUGGAACUCCGAGUGUAGAGGUGAAAUUCGUAGAUAUUCGGAAGAACACCAGUGGCGAAGGCGGCUCACUGGCCCGUUUCUGACGCUCAGGCGCGACAGCGUGGGGAGCAAACAGG
rnacentral:rRNA from 1 species